rnacentral:rRNA from 1 species
UAGGGAAUCUUCCACAAUGGACGCAAGUCUGAUGGAGCAACGCCGCGUGAGUGAAGAAGGUUUUCGGAUCGUAAAGCUCUGUUGUUGGUGAAGAAGGAUAGAGGCAGUAACUGGUCUUUCUUUGACGGUAAUCAACCAGAAAGUCACGGCUAACUACGUGCCAGCAGCCGCGGUAAUACGUAGGUGGCAAGCGUUGUCCGGAUUUAUUGGGCGUAAAGCGAGCGCAGGCGGAAUGAUAAGUCUGAUGUGAAAGCCCACGGCUCAACCGUGGAACUGCAUCGGAAACUGUCAUUCUUGAGUGCAGAAGAGGAGAGUGGAAUUCCAUGUGUAGCGGUGGAAUGCGUAGAUAUAUGGAAGAACACCAGUGGCGAAGGCGGCUCUCUGGUCUGCAACUGACGCUGAGGCUCGAAAGCAUGGGUAGCGAACAGG